rnacentral:rRNA from 1 species
CGAACGCUGGCGGCAUGCCUAACACAUGCACGUCGAACGAGACCUUCGGGUCUAGUGGCGCACGGGUGCGUAACGCGUGGGAAUCUGCCCUUCGGUUGGGAAUAACUGAGAGAAAUUUCAGCUAAUACCUUAUAAUGUCUUCGGACCAAAGAUUUAUCGCCGAGGGAUGAGCCCGCGUAGGAUUAGGUAGUUGGUGGGGUAAUGGCCUACCAAGCCGACGAUCCUUAGCUGGUCUGAGAGGAUGAUCAGCCACACUGGGACUGAGACACGGCCCAGACUCCUACGGGAGGCAGCAGUGGGGAAUAUUGGACAAUGGGCGAAAGCCUGAUCCAGCAAUGCCGCGUGAGUGAUGAAGGCCUUAGGGUUGUAAAGCUCUUUUACCCGGGAUGAUAAUGACAGUACCGGGAGAAUAAGCUCCGGCUAACUCCGUG